ACUAAAAGAAACACUCAGCAAAACAAAGAAAGUUCGUAGAGUACCGUCCAGGCCUAGCUAAUGUUUCAUAAGGACAAUAGAAGGCAUCAUUUGUUUUCAGAGCAUAAUUUUAUUAUAUCUUAAUGCAAGAAAAGGUGCCAGACUUACUGACCUCCAGCUUUUCACAUCCUGGGAGGAGAUUGCUCUCAAAGGUACACUCAUCUUAACCAAACUCAAGACAGCGAUGUCUAGGACAAGAAAGCUGACAUGCUGAUCUGUGCUCAAACCAGAGUUGAGCUGGCUCCAAGAGCGUCUGGUCUCCAGGAUCUGCACGGCCUUUGGAAACCAAAGCUCAAUCCCAGGGGCUCAGGGCCAGAGAAUCAAGCAAACAUGCUGGUUACAGAAACUGAAAUUAUUCACUCAUUCGACAAAUAUUAGUCAGCACCUACUCUGGUCUAGCGACUGUUUUCAGAGCUGUGACCAAGACAGACAACGUCUUUGUCGAGCAUGGAGAUUAUGUUCUAGUUAGUCGUAGAUUCUGGGAUUGAACCCCUAGACAAGUGAAGAAGGCAACGUCAAAUAGUAACUGUCAGAAAGGAAACAUAACAGGGGCAUGUGUUGCAGGAGCUGGGAAAGGCUGAGACUCGGAUGACACGAAGGCCCGUCCAUGUGCAGGCCAGGAAGGGUGCUCCAUGCAGAAGCACAGCAGGUGCAAAGGCCCUGAACUGGGGAUGAGGGUGGCUCGAGGAUGCGAUCAAGUUCAACUCACAAAGGGGAAGCCGAUUGUGAAGUUCAGAGGAGAUCCUUCUAGCUUCCAAGGCUGGACCACGGUCUGAGACAGAGGCGAGAAUCAGCAGACGGAACAGGUCAAUAAAGCAAUGCACUGGAAUGUUCAGGAUUCCUCUGGUUGUUCUAUGUGAUUUCCCAUGGCUGUCUCACCCCUCAAAGCUGUUGGCAAGGUGCCCGGCCUGCGAACUGCACUCAGAUACAUGUUAACAAAUGGUCACGGCACUGCAGAAAGAAGAAUGGAGUGGAGUGGACAGUCCUGCAGUGGCUAAAUGCUUUUGUUAGAGUGCAAGCGUCUGUAGCCACAGAUGAUCAGCUUUCUCCCAUCACCAAGAUGGCCCGUGCAGGCCCUGGCUUCCCGG
rnacentral:lncRNA from 10 species